AAACCAACAUAAAGCACUUCAAGUUGAUCAAAAACUGGAAGAAGAAGAAAAAAAAAAAGGGUAAAACAGUGUUGAAGUCUUCAACAAACCAAAAACUGGAAGAAGAAGAAAAAAGUAAAAGCAACUGAACGUUUGGUUUUUCCACUGGAAAUUUAUAGUGCAUUAUGUUUUUGCUAUGUAGCAUGAAUCUCUUUGCCAUUCUUCUGAACAAGGAAACCGACCAAGUUAUUUAUGGGGAGGGAAUAGAGUAGACCCAACCCAGGUUCUCUUUUAACCUGCAAGGUUUUACAAACAACGAUUAUCUUCCAUUCCGUGUUCCGAUCUUUGGGAACCAACCAAGGUUUUGUUAAGGUUUGAAGAAGUAUGCAAGUUAUCUUUGUGAGAGAGAAGCAAGCAAGGGAUUUUUUGAGGAUGGUUGCCGUGUGACCACACAGUCAGUAAAACCAACCGAGAAAGAUCGUCUACGGCUGAAGAUGAUGCCCACAACACUGAGAUCAUCCUGUCCAUUAAUCACGCGCUGAUCACGCAGUCAUGAUUCAUUCACCAGUGGUAGUUAGCUGUAGCAAAUUCAUUUGUUUAACCAAUUUUAACUUGUCAAAUUGAGAUUUUCAUUAAAAUUUGCAUGCUUUUUUUAAACAACACUUUUCACCUUAAAACUCACUUCUACCUUGGAUGGAUAUACUGUUUAUGCAAAGUUAAAUUAACCGAUAAUAUGUGAGAAGCAAGCAAGGUAAGCAAUACAAUGCCACUCUUUUUUUGUUUUCUUGUGCGUGUGUUUUGUCAUAAAAACCUGUACUUGACAUUCUCUGUUUGUUGCAAAAAGAGGAUUUUUUGAGUUUGGUUGCCGUGUGUCUACCCCGUCAGUAAAACCAACCGACAGCUAAAGAUGAUGCACAGAAUAUGGUUCCUUCAUGAUACAUCGCCCAGACUUAUGUUCUUGUCUCUUUAGAAUCCAAGUACUCAGCAGUAAGAGCCUAUAGAACACAUCAUGUUCAAAUUUUGUUACCAGACAAAACAGCUAUGGUGGUGGUGAUAUCAUUUCAACAAGUUAGGGACCACUUUGAGCUUUUCAUGGUUGGUUUGAAGAAGGAAGCAAGUUAUCUUUGUGAGAGGGAAGCAAAGGACACUAAAUCACAAACGGCUAGAAUCUUUCAUGUUCUCCCUGAGAAGCAAGCAAGAUUUUGUUACCAAACAAAGCAGCUAUGGUGGUGAUAUCAUUUCAACAAGUUAGGGCCCACUUUGAGCUUUUCAUGGUUGGUAAGAUUUUGUAGGUGACAUUGUAAAUAUGUUUCUAAAGUGCUUUUUAUUAAACUUCAGUGGUAGCUAGCAGUAGCAAAUUCAUUUCUUUAACCAAUUUUAACUUGUCAUAUGGAGAUUUUCAUAUAAAGUUACAUUCUUUUUAAACAACACUUUUCACCUUAAAACUCACUUCUGCCUUGGAUGGAUGACUGUUUAUGCAAAGUUGUGUUAGGUUCUAGCUCUACUGAUGGUGCAUAUCUAAUCAAUGAUGAUCUAAGUGUAUGUUGUUUACAAGCAGUUUGGUACACUAAUAUCUGCACUUCUAAUUUCAUUAAAUAGAUACAAAAUUAUCUUUAUGCAUUCACACUUAAGCUGUUUCUUUUUAUACUCUAAGUGAAAUCUGAUGUUUGACAAUAGUAUACCUUACAUGCUUAAACAAAAGAUAGAAUAGAUCGAUUAGCGCAAUAUAAUUCUUUUGUUGCAAGGUGAGUUCUUAUUCAUAUCUUUGUGCUGAUUGUUGUCAUUCAAAUAACAUAUGUCGAGUUAAGAUGAACCUAAUCCAUCCCUGUUUGUUUCAUGUCAAUGUUUGGUGUUAGUUUAGCUUCUGGAAUGAAUAUAGAGGUUUAUUCAUUGUAGGGUAGAAAAAGUAGAGGCCAAGUAAGUAUCCGACUAAAGUUCCACAUCGUCUAAUUGGUAAAAGAAAUUAAGCUGCUCAGAUAUAAAAUGAAAGGACCUCUAAUUAAGCUAAUUACGGAGUCGUGUGAUGAUGACAUAGCGAACUAUUCUUUCGCCUUUUACUAAAGAAUACCGUGUCAGCGUCACAUUUAGCGGCAUACGCUAGUUUUUGGAAGAGUCUUCUUCAUUGAGGGCUCUGCAACUUUAGUUCAAGAUUAUGUUUGAAUCUUUCUUAUUUUUGAUAAUUCUCACUAUUUUUUUUAGUUUUAAAUUUAAAUUAAUUCUGUUUUAUUCUAUAAAAUUAUGAGCUUCUAAGUGUUGUUAUAAUCAGAAAAAUAUUAUGAGAUACAUAAAGCUGGAUGUGUAUCAAAUUGCUAUGCAACUGAGUUUGGGUUGGUAAGAUAUUUUUGAAAAAACUUAUCAGUAACAGCUGAAUGAUUUGAUUUGUAAAACAUUAACCUCAUAGUUGGCCUCUACAUUAACUUACACUCUAAUGAGAACCCAUCUAUCUGCAAAUGAUGUUAUAUUGAGUCACAGAUUGGAAAGCAUGAUCAAACUCGUCAUCGCAAAAUUGCGAUGAACCCAUAGGCCAAAUAAUUAAAUGAACCUAGCAGACUAAUACCCCAAUAACAAGAACAAUCUCUUGGCAAUUUUGAUACUGAAACCAAGUUGAUUUAAACUAAACAAUGGCAGGUAUAAAACAUCAAUUAAGAUGAUAGAGUCAGUGACAUGCACUUUCAUUACAAAAUUCUGCUAUGGAGGUCACUGUAGUGAGGCAACAUCUGCUCCUCCUUUCAAUGUAUUAGACUUGAGCAUUGCUAUUAAUCCUCUACAGUAAGAUUUUCAAUUUCUUUUUGUUCAGCAUCCCCAGGUGCAUUUGCUUCUGAAUUAUCUACUUCAACCCAAUUACUUCCUGUAUAGUUACUUCCAAGUUUGCCACAGUAUGAGCACGUCUUAGAAUUUUCUCUACUUCUCUCGAAGAAAUUUCCACUAGAUCCAUUAUUAAAUCUUCUGCCAUCAGCCGCAUUAACAAUCAUCUUUAAUGUCAUCCAACCAAACUAUUUGGCCUCUCACGUUUAAUAAGACUAGAGAAAACCUUGUUCAUAUAAGGAAAAGAAGGCAAUAAAAGCAGUUGAGAGCAUACUGCUGCAAAGGACUCAUUCCAUCGUAACAAAUAGUUUCAUCUUUUUCGGAUAUGGUUAAACAAAAGAUGGAAUAGAUCGAUUAGCUCAAUACAGUUCUUUUGUUGCAAGCAAGGUGAGUUCUUAUUCAUGUCUUUGUGCUGAUUGUUGUCAUUAGAAUAACAUAGUGUGAGUCAAGAUGAACCUAAUCCAUCCCUGUUAGUUUCAUGUCAAUGUUUGGAAGAAUGUUGUACGGUACUGGAUCAUAUAAAGGUGUUAGUUUAGCUACGGGGAAGAAUUUAGAUGUUUUUUCAUUGGAGGGUAGAAAAAGUAGAGGCCAAGCAAGUAUCUCACUAAAGUCCCACAUAGUUUAAUGCGUAGAAGAAAUUAAGCUGCUCAGAUAUAAAAUGAAAGGACCUCUAAUUAGGCUAUUUAUGGAGCCGUGUGAUGAUGACAUAGCGAACUAUUCUUUCGCCUUUUACUAAAGAAUACCGUGUCAGCGUCACAAUUAGCGGCAUACGCCAGUUUUUGGAAGAGUUCUCUUUAUUGAGGGCUCUGCAAUAUUAGUUCAAGUUUAUGUGUUUUCUGUUUUUCCGAUUGAUGUUUUUGUUUGGAUGUUUAGUUUUUUUGUAUUUCUCCCUAUUUUUUGUUCUUAUACUAAAAUAAAUCAUUCCAUACAGCUUGUUGCUUCAAGGAUUCUGCUGUAUCAAAGUAGAGUAAGAGUAAAAUAUACAAUAGCAAGAAGAAAUGGCAGGUACAAAACAUCAAUUAAGAUGAUUGAGUCAGGGAGAUGCACUUCAUUAGGAUUCUGUUGUCUCAAACAAGUAGAGUCCAUUUUACAAAAACCGUCUUGUAUGUGACACAUCUUGUAUCAAGUAGUCCUUAAUUUAACUGGUAUUGUGUUUAUCCCUAAGAAAACAUGUCUAAAGUAAGCAUACGUGGUCCGCAGCACCAUUAUAAAAAAAUUCAUACCGUGUGAGGCAACAUCUGCUCCUCCUUUCAAUUUGUUAGGCUUGAGCAUUGCUAUUAAUCCUCUACAGGAAGAUUUUCAAUUUGUUUUUGUUCAGCAUCCCCAGGUGCAUUUGCUUCUGAGUUAUCUACUUCAACGCAAUUACUUCCUGUAUAAUUACUUCCAAGUUUGCCACAGUAUGAGCACGUCUUAGAAUUUUCUCUACUUCUCUCGAAGAGAUUGACCAAAAUUUCCACUAGAUCCAUGAUUAAAUCUUCUUCCAUCAGCCGCAUUAACAAUCUCCUGCGGAUCUUUAAUGUCAUCCAAACUAUUUUGCCUCUCAUGUUUAAUAAGACCAGAGAAAACUUGUUCAUAUAAGGAAAAGAAGGCAAUAAAAGCAGUUGAGAGCAUACUGCUGCAAAGGACUCAUUCCAUUGUAACAAAUAGUUUAAUCUUUUUUCCUUGAAUUUAAGAUCCAGGUGUUGGCCGCGUUAUACAUCAUGUAUGAUUUCAAUGAUGCUGCGGCCGGCCAUGAAGUGGGCUGUGAGACGCACUCAGAAGGAUUCUUUUGUUGCUAUAGCCAUGGUAGGUUUUGAUCAUGAAAAUGGCGAGGUUCGUAAAGACUUACUUAAAACAAAAGAUGGAACAGAUCACUGGUUCAUACAGGUCCUCUGUUGUAAGGUGAGUUAUUAUUCAUGUGCUGUAUUUGCAUUGAAAUUCAAUUGUGCUAGAUUGGGAUACUUUAAUGUUUAAAGUGAGUGGGUAUCAGACUGAAGUCCCACAUCGUCUAAUUCAUAAAUGAAACUAUACUGCUCAGAUAUAAAAUGAAAGGACCUCUCCUGAUAGUAGGCACGGAGCCGUGUGAUGAUGACAUAGCGAACUAUUCCUUCGCCUUUUACUAAAGAAUACCGUGUCGGCGUCACAUUUAGCGGCAUACGCUAGUUUUUGGAAGGGUCCUCUUCAUUGAGGGCUCUGCAAUUUAGUAAAAGUUUGUUCAUCUGUUAAGUUUAUUGAUGAUUUUAGACUAUUAAUCACUAACUGGAGUUUUGAUUAGGAAUUUGUUAGUGUUUUGAUACACAAACAUGUGGUUAAGUGGUUCUUAGGCAAAAAUUAAAAUAUGAAUCCUUUGGUCACUGUAGAUGCCUGAUCCACACUUUGUGAGGCAACAUCUGCCCCUUCCUUUCAAUGAUUUGGACUUGAGCUUUGCUAUUAAUUCUUAAUAUUCCUUUGCAAUAAGAUUUUUAAUUUGUUUCUGAGUUAUCUACUUCAACACAAUUACUUCCUUUACUAUUUAUCAAUUGAAAGCCAGUGGGAAUUGAAGGCCGCUGCAGCAACAUCCACAUAGAUCCCAUUAUGCGUGGUAGACAGAGAGACUAAAUCUACGUUCCAGAUGCAUGAUAGAUCGAGAGUACUGUUUGUUUCAUCUCUCAUUAGUAUUUGGUGUUUAGUAUUUUCGAAUAAAGUAUGUUAUGCCUAACUAUUUAUAGUGCAUGCAUAACUUGCAUCAGUACACUAAGGUAAAACAUCUCUGUCUUCAACAGAAUCUUUUGUCUGCUAUAACCACUAUAGAUUUUGAUCAAGAAAAUACUGUAUUGAAUGACUAAUUGCAAACAUAACCAAACUCACACCAUCUAAUACCCAAAAUGAACACAUUUGUCAUUUUGUGGCUGGAUUAGAAGGAAGUAAACUUCAACAACUUUGGUAUUGGUUUGGUGACUGGGCUAUUUUACUUCUGUAAAUGUUAUUUUCUUGUCCUAGUUUUUGAACAAUUUAGCUCUCUUCAUCUCAAAUUUAUUCUUUGCGGUUUAAUAUUUGCUUGUCUAAGUUGUUAGAUUUGUUUAUGGACAAGAAUGAUAAGUGAGGACUUCACAGUACAAUUUCUUAGUCCCACACUGCUAAUGAGAGAAAUAAGAUGAAUUUGAAUUUGUAUAAAAGUAAGCUUAUUCAUUAGUGAAAUCUAUCUUUGCGCUUGGGGCAAUGACGCAGCUAGUGAGGUUCUAACCGAGGCGCGUCUAUUGCUGGUUGAAAACUAUUUCCAAACCCCCUCUUAGGCUUGGGUUCAACUCAAGCCUUUGAGAAUUUCUGGAAGGACUCCCUUUGGGGUAAAGUCCUACAAUUUUAGUUCAAUAUAUAAUAAUUAAGUCUUACAAUAUUAGCUAAUAUAUUUAUAUUUAUUCUAAGAAUUUCUAAAUUUCAGUCUCUUAUUAAUUAGUCAUUCUUUAAUUUCCAAUCUCCGAUAUUCCAUUAUUUUGCAUAAGAUAUAUGACUUAGUAUGGUUGCAACUUAACAUUACAAUAGUAAAAAAGCCCAGUCAUCAAACUAGUAUCAAAAUUCUCAUCCAGCCACAACAAUCAACUCACACAAACCUUAGUUUACUCUUCAGCUAGUUAUUGAACUUGAUAAAAAAAUAAAAUUGAUUUGAAAGGUAAGAUUUGGUAUCAGUUCUCUAAACAAAAUAAAGAUUGAUAUGAAAGGUAAGAUAUGAUCUCAGUUAAAUAAUUGUUCUAUAAAACAUGAUAAAGGAGAUCAUGGAACAAAAUAUUGCAUACAUGUUGAUUCCACUAAGCGAAUAUAGACGCCAUAAUAUUGUUAUAAAUAGUUCGCAAUGUGAGUUGGUGUAUAACAUGUUGAUCCACUAAGUGGAUUGGUGUAUAACUUGUUGAUCCACUAAGUGAAUAUAGACCAUAUAUACAACUCUGACACUAAAUUUAGGGAAUAAUUAGUCUCAGUUUAGAUUUAUAUGAUUAUUAUCUUUGUGACGAUAUGACACUUGACUAAUCUUUUUUUCUUUUUCCUCUAUAGAAUGAAUUAGUCUUAUGUUGUCUGAGUCCCACAUCGGAAUUGUUAGAGUGAAUAGUAUGGAACAUCAAGUAUAAAACAGAAGUGUGUGAUACAUUGCAACAUACUUACCUGGAUGGGGUCAAUGGGUGAUCAAGAAGGCCCAUGGCCUAGGCAAGUGACCUCCAUUGCACUUAGGAGGGGUGCUAGCCUAAGGUCUACCCAAGUGGUGGAGCCUACAUCAUAAUUUGUUGCUGUGGGGGCCUGCGUUCGCGCGGCCCCUCCCAAUUGAGUUUUAAUUUUUCUUUAAAGAUCCAAAAGCAUUGUUUUUUUGAGGGAGGCUGUUUCAUAAAAAUUUUGCUGGAGAGUAUGUUGGAUUGCUCUGUCAUUUGUGGAAAUUUUGAAAGCUUGGAUCAUCUGGUGAGGAGUUAUUAACAUAUUGCUUUGGCAAAUUGGACUUUGAAAUAGUUCAAAGUAUGCUGAAGGAUGUUGGCAAUCAAUCAAACUGAGUUUUUGUAUCAUUGAUGUAGCUUAGGUGAUUGUUUUGGGAUGGAUUUAACAUAGGUUUUUCGUUGCAACAUUUGUAGUGCAAAUGUUGUGUGCUAAUGUGUAUUACUCUUAUACCCGUUUUGUUCACAUCUGGUUCAUAUAUUAUCCAUAUAUUAUCUGGUUGUUCAAGAGCUGAAGGGAAAUUGGAAUAUCUGCCAUCUGUGUUGAGUUUGACGUAGUUACUUUGAAGAGGUUGCCAACUAAUCAUAACCAACCAUCCGUGUUCAGCUUGACGUAGUUACUUUGAAGAGGUUGCCAACUAAUCAUAAUAACCGACGCCUUAUCCACCUUAGUAGUAACUGCACGUUGUGGGUUGUGGGGGAUGUUGUAAGAGAUGCUAAUGGUGUUUGGUUAGAUGGUUUUACGAAAAAUACAAGUGUGUGUUCUGCCUUUGUAGCAAAAUUGUGAGGUGUGUUUGAAGGCCUUAAUUAUACGAUCAAAUUAGGGAAGAAGGUGGAGUUGAAUGUGGAUUCUGUAGCGGUGAUGAAUGUUAUUAAAAAAAAGGCGCGUUAGAAAGCUCUAAAGGUUAUGCCUUGUUAAGGUAAAUUACAAGGUUGAUUGAGCUUCAGGAUGAUGCGUAAAUUAGUCACUCUUAUCGAGAAGCUAACAAGUGUGCAGAUGCGUUGGUAAAUGAAAGAUGCAACUUAAAUUGCAAUUUUGUUGAAUACAUAGUUACUCUUAUUUUUAUUAGUGGGUUGUUAGAGGAUGACUUGUUAGGAGUUUUUGUUCCUAGGUUGAUCCCUGUGUAGCUUUUCUUUCUUCGGGCUUUGGCCCUUUUGUUUACCAAAAAAUUAAAUUUGUAGAUCUGGCUCCAUUUGAAAACAUAAGCCAAUUUGAUUCAUUCAUAAUCUUAACUUUAUUGUUUUCAGUUUUGACUCAUUUACAUUAAGAUAUUAAGAUACAAUGUUUUUAAAGAAAAAAAAAGUUACCACUAUCCAAAUAUAAUUUAAAAAAAAAGGUCUAAAUAGCAAAACUUUAAAUGAAAAAAAAGUUUCAAUAACCAAAUUUUACACAAUUAGAAAUGAAUAAAAAAAAUUAAUGAUUUUUAAUUUGGGCCAACUUUCUAAAAUGGCUUAAUAAUUGCUUGUUUAAUCGAAUGAACCAAAAUAAAAGUAGAUUUGCGACCAAAAAGUUAAUUUUUGAAGAUAUAAAAUUGGACCGUCAAUGGCCGUCUAAUGUGUAAAAAACUGGAUUGAUUUUAAAAUGGACCCGAUUAUUGUUAAAACCCAAAAAAACUAGUAAUGAAAUCGAAUUUGGGAAAAAUUGAUUGUUGAAUCAGACGGAAAUGGACCUAUAUUUCUCAACCGAGGGUUGGGCCAAUUUGGGGUUUUGAGACUGAGUCCAUUAGUUCUCCUUACUCAAAUUCAGAGCUUUUGGAAACUUCCUCAACUAAUGGAACUCAUGUCAAGUUCUCCUUCCCGGCAACACUAUAUGAAGAGUACCUGGAUGCAACAGCAGAUUCUGCGAGCGAGGGCAAUGAUUUUUUUUGUUCAAUACCAUUGUGCUUGUGCUUUGCAGUGUAACGUCAUGUUCUUGAUUGACACGUCUAUUUUUGUAGUGCAUACCUCCAGUACUUCAUUGAUUUGAAUAAAAUUAGCAAGUGGAACUGGGGGUGUAGUUUGGUAUACCUAUACCAAAAGCUGAAUGAAGCUUCUAACUGGAGGACAAGGAAGUUGACAAACUCUUGCACACUAAUCGCGGGAUGGAUCAUUUUCCACCUCCUCUGUAUUCAUGGUUUCUACAUUGAUGAGGAGUAUCGUGAAGAGUUAAUGCGGGCUACCAUGUAUAUCUUGCAAAGAGGGAAUAAUGUUGUGCCACCGUUCCGGGUGUAUCUUGAUCGAACUGUUCAUGAUGACAUCAACUGGAUGCUCUUGACACCAUUGUCCGUCGGGAUCUCGGUGACAUCUUUUAGGAUUGGGAGCAUCAUAUGGUGCCGGAGGAGUAUUGGAUGUUGCCAGCAUCGAGCAGUUGGCAUUGUGUGGAGGAAUACCUGACAUGGUUCUACAUAGUGUCACACCCUAUCAUGACACUGAACACUCCUGGACAUCCACCUAGGCCAGCUCAUGAGAAGAUCUUGGAGAACCAGUAGGCCCAGAAUGACCAUACCACUAAUGUCUUGUCGAUUUGUCAGUGUAUACAGUUGAUUAGGCAAGACGCUUUGGAGUUAGAGGUGAUUGAGAGAGGCAAUCCUGAAGCGGUGUCCAUCGUAGAAAGGUCAAAGGAUGGUUAGAGAGACAUCGAGUUUUGCGAGAUACAAGGGGCGGAGGAGGGAGCAGAGGUUAGGAUUAGGCAUACGUAGUAGGUUAUGCCCUUCUUUUUUUUAUUUAUCGAUGUA